rnacentral:rRNA from 1 species
AUUGAACGCUGGCGGCAUGCUUUACACAUGCAAGUCGAACGGUAACAGGCCGCAAGGUGCUGACGAGUGGCGAACGGGUGAGUAAUGCAUCGGAACGUGCCCAGUCGUGGGGGAUAACGCAGCGAAAGCUGCGCUAAUACCGCAUACGACCUAUGGCUGAAAGCGGGGGACCGUAAGGCAUCGCGCCAUUGGAGCGGCCGAUGUCCGAUUAGGCAGUGGGUGAGGUAAAGGCUCACCAAGCCAACGAUCUGUAGCUGGUCUGAGAGGACGACCAGCCACACUGGGACUGAGACACGGCCCAGACUCCUACGGGAGGCAGCAGUGGGGAAUUUUGGACAAUGGGCGCAAGCCUGAUCCAGCAAUGCCGCGUGCAGGAAGAAGGCCUUCGGGUUGUAAACUGCUUUUGUACGGAACGAAACGGCUCUCACUAAUACUGGGGGCUAAUGACGGUACCGUAAGAAUAAGCACCGGCUAACUACGUGCCAGCCGCCGCCGUAAGAC